rnacentral:rRNA from 1 species
CCGUGCGGCUGCUACAAUGCAGUCGAGCGGCAGCACGGGUGCUUGGCCUGGUGGCGAGUGGCGAACGGGUGAAAAUACAUCGGAACAUGUCCUGUUUUGGGGGAUAGCCCGGCGAAGGCCGGAUUGAUACCGCAUACGAUCUACGGAUGAAAGCGGGGGACCUUCGGGCCUCGCGCUUUAGGGUUGGCCGAUGGAUGAUUAGCUAGUUGGUGGGGUAAAGGCCUACCAGGGUCACCAUCGCUAUCUGGUCUGACAGAACUACCAGCCUGAUUGGGACUGAUACACGGCCCACACUCCUACGGGAGGCACCAGUGGGGAAUUUUGGAAAUGGGCGAAAGCCUGAUCCAUCAAUGCCGCGUGUGUGAAGAAGGCCUUCGGGUUGUAAAGCACUUUUGUCCGGAAAGAAAUCCUUGGCCCUAAUACGAUCGUGGGAUGACGGUACCGGACGAAUACUACCCGGCUAACUACGUGCCACCACCCGCGGUAAUACGUAGGGUGCCAGCGUUAAUCAGAAUUACUGGGAUUUAUUGGUGCGCAAGCGGUUUGCUGAGACUUAUUUGAAAUCCCCGGGCUCGACCUGGGAACUGCAUUGGUGACUGGCAAGCUAGAGUAAGGCAAAUGGGGGUAAAAUUACUCGUGUUCCAUGUGUAUGCGUAAAGAUGUGAAAGAAUACCAAUAGCACCGGCGGCCCCCUGGGCUCUUACUGACGCUCAUGCACCAGAGCCUGGGGAGCAUGCAGGAUUAAAUACCCUGGUUAUCCACGCCCUCCACGAUGUCAACUAUUUGUGCUAGAUGCAUUUCCUUAUUAACGUAGCUGUAUCCGUGAAGAUGACCGCCUGGCGAGUACUGUCGCGUGAUAAAGACUCGAAGGAACUGACGGGAACCCACACAAGCCCUGGAUGAUGUGGAUUAAUUCGAUGCAACUCGAAACACCUUACAUACCCUUGACAUGUCCUGACUCACUGCUGAGAGGUGGGAGUGCUCGGAAGUUCAUUCGGCGACACAGGGUGCUGCGUGGCUGCUCUGUCUGCUCGUCGUCGUCGAGAUGUUGGGAUGAUGUCCCUGCAAUCACGCGCAACACCUUGGUCCCUCAGAUGCUACGCAGCAGUCACUCAAUGGAGACCGUCUGAUGACGACUCGCGGAGGAUGAAUGCGAUGACGGUCAGGUCCUGCACUGUCCAAUCAUGCGGUACGGCUUACGACGUGCGAUAUACUCACCUCGCAUACAAAUGGGAAUGGCCUCAACACCCGAGCGUGCGGGGGA